rnacentral:rRNA from 1 species
AACGCGAAGAACCUUACCCACCUUUGACAUGUACGGAAGUCGCUAGAGAUAGCUUCGUGCUCGAAAGAGAGCCGUAACACAGGUGCUGCAUGGCUGUCGUCAGCUCGUGUCGUGAGAUGUUGGGUUAAGUCCCGCAACGAGCGCAACCCUUGCCAUUAGUUGCUACGAAAGGGCACUCUAAUGGGACUGCCGGUGACAAACCGGAGGAAGGUGGGGAUGACGUCAAGUCCUCAUGGCCCUUAUAGGUGGGACUACACACGUCAUACAAUGGCUGGUACAAAGGGUUGCCAACCCGCGAGGGGGAGCUAAUCCCACAAAGCCAGUCGUAGUCCGGAUCGUAGUCUGCAACUCGACUACGUGAAGUCGGAAUCGCUAGUAAUCGUGGAUCAGAAUGUCACGGUGAAUACGUUCCCGGGCCUUGUACACACCG